rnacentral:lncRNA from 1 species
GGCUUAAAAGAUUCAUCUCGCGAUUUACAUAUAAACUGUGUAAUUAGUUUUUAUUUUCAUUUAUAUUUAAUGCUUCAUGCAUGCACCGCAAGAUUCGAUGUGACGGAGAAUCUUGAAAAGUUUUGGGUUUUGGGGUGAACUAAACAAGGCCGAUCUCGUUGUAUAAAGGGUAUACCACUAAUAAAGGCCUUGUUUAGUUUCCAAAAAAUUUCAAGAUUCCCCGUCACAUCGAAUCUUGCGGCACAUGCAUGGAGUAUUAAAUUUAGACGAAAACAAAAACUAAUUAUACAAUUUGCCUGUAAAUUGCGAGAUGAAUCUUUUGAUCUUAAUUAGUCUAUAUGAUUGGACAAUAUUUGCCACAAACAAAUGAAAGUGCUACAGUACCCGAAAUCCAAAAUUUUUGCUACUCGAGUUUAAAUUCUGACUGCUUCAUCUACACCCUGGGAGUAAUUUUUUUUUUGAAUUAUACUCCCUCCAUACCUAUAAAGAAACUUGUUUAGGACAAUGACACAGUCUUCAAAGCUUAACUUUGAUUUCUUGUUUUUAUAAAAAUAUUUAUCAAAAAGUGAUAUAUGUAUAUUUUUAUAAAAGUUUUUUUAAGAUAAAUCUAUUCAUAUGGUUUUGACAUUUCUAAACUCAAGAAUUUAAAAGUUAUUCAUAAUUUAUAUUCCCAAUAUUUGAUCCGAACCUUGUCCAAAAUGACUUCUUUAUAGGUAUGGAGGGAUCAGUAUAGUACAACGCAGACACAUACAAUGCACGUAUAUUCAUCUCUAUAAACAUACAUAUGUAAACUCUACCCAUAUGAGCAACUUUGAAGGACUAAAUUGGCAGAUCAUGAGAUUCAUAAAGCCACCACAGACAUCUCGCUGUUGACGAGGACGUCACCUACCACUGAAAGCAUAGCGCCAUUAAAUCCUAGAAUAAAUACAGAAAAAUGCGAGCAUCUAUACCAAGUCGAGGACUUAAACAUGAGUGGACAGGUUCCACCAUAAGAAACUCAAUCAGUUGAUCUAUUAUGACAGGGGUCUCCUUCCCCUAGCAUCCUAGAUCAAUUGGAUCACAAAUGACAAGCCUUCAUUUAGACCAGCUCCUUAGUGACAAUUGGGGCCAACUAACUAGUUACCUAUGAAACGCCUCAAAAGCACUAUGACAGAAGAGGCCUAGGGUGUCAAGAACCUUAUUACAUCAAAGUCAUUCCUCCUACUCAAACUUCUUCACUGAAUACACCAGCUCUUUGUCAUGGGCAGAAAGGAUGCACCAAUACGGCAAUACAAUACACAACCUCUCCACUCUCCACCAUGGAGGGGAGCUUAGACAGAGGGGCACUGGGCUUUGCUGCAAAAUCAUCUCCUAACCUACCAGUGCAUCACAAAGGUGGACAUCAUAUUAGUGACGGAUCAGUUAAUGUUGUUCUGAGACAAUGUUUAGACUUGGGAUGCCACACUCUCCAUAACCUUCCUAGCCGCCCGCAGCCACUGCACCAAAACAACGGUUAUAAUAAGGGAGGUCCUCCUAUACAGACAAGACAACUUCUUGAUCUUGCCUUAUCUUUUGUUGCCGUAGACUGAGAAAAGAAUAAUGCAUGAUCUUAUAAGCUCCAUGAGUUUCUCAUCAGCACCUAAUCACAGGUUCAUUUUCUUUGAAUCCGAAGAGCACGAACUAGACAUGGGCCAAAUCCAGCAUGCCUCCACCUAGUCUGGAAAUGAAUAAGUGAUCUUCAAGUUUUGUCUGGUGUGGCCAUAAACUAUCAUAGGUCAAUCCUUUUAUUGGAUUCUGAUUUAGCACUGGCUACAAUGCAAAGCGAACCUUUGGAAGAAGUAUUUUCUCGAAGACGAUGUUUGUGAGUUGUUCCAUGAAGCCCCAGAAACAAGCGACCAUCUAUUCACUGGAUACCAAUUUGUAUAUAUAAAGCUUCUAGUCACACCUGGGUUGCUUGGGGCGUAGAUGACAUCCCUAAGGUAACACUCCCUUGUUCGCUUGAGCUUAUCAGCCGAAUCUGUCAGCCAUUCAGCAGUGUUUUUCUCUCACAACAAAUCAGCGAGCAGUACUUUCUGUCAUAGCUUAUCUGCCUGAACCGACUACUACUAGCCUGCAAAGAAGACUGUCAUCUCUGGUGCCUCAAUUUUGUCUGAACUGACUAUUACUACUAACCUGCAAGGAGGACUGUCGUCUCUAGUGCCAUCGUUACCCCCUUCUACUAUUAUACUUUCAGCUCCCCCGUGUUGGACAGUGGUCUCGCCUAAUCCAAGAUUAAUCAUGAGAUUAACUUAAAGUCUAUGUUUUGGUUGGUGCUCGCAUGAUCAGACUAUUAAAGUGAGCACAUAAGUACUAAGUUGAUGCUCACGGAUUUGCUUACUAAAUGCUUACCACAUAACCUAUUUAGACAUCAUGAAGCGUAAGGUGUUGAAAGAACAGUUGAUACAUAUUAUGGAAAUAUAGAAAGAUGGGCUCCAAAUUGUUUUUCUAAAUCUGCCACGUUGUUUUUCUAGAUCUACCAGCCACUACUACUCUCCAAUUUAUAGAAGGUGUUGUUGAAGGACAAACGGAGUAGUACAUUAUUAUACAUUGGCGUACGAUGUAUAACACAUGUUUUUCACAUAUACUAUAGG